rnacentral:rRNA from 1 species
UGAACGCUGGCGGCAGGCUUAACACAUNNAAGUCGAGCCGCACCUUCGGGUGAGCGGCUGGACGGGUGAGUAACGCGUGGGAAUAUGCCCUAAGGUACGGAAUAGCCUCUGGAAACGGAGAGUAAUACCGUAUGUGCCCUUCGGGGGAAAGAUUUAUCGCCUUAGGAUUAGCCCGCGUUGGAUUAGGUAGUUGGUGGGGUAAUGGCCUACCAAGCCGACGAUCCAUAGCUGGUUUGAGAGGAUGAUCAGCCACACUGGGACUGAGACACGGCCCAGACUCCUACGGGAGGCAGCAGUGGGGAAUCUUGGACAAUGGGGGAAACCCUGAUCCANCCAUGCCGCGUGAGUGACGAAGGCCCUAGGGUCGUAAAGCUCUUUCGCUGGGGAAGAUAAUGACGGUACCCAGUAAAGAAACCCCGGCUAACUCCGUGCCAGCAGCCGCGGUAAU